rnacentral:rRNA from 1 species
AGUCACAGCCAUAUCACCCUGCAGCCCAAGACCGCUUACUCACUAAAGCUAAGCAGGGCUGAGCGGUCAGUACCUGGAUGGGAGACCCUAAUGGGAAAAGGUUGCUAUUGGAAGUG